rnacentral:rRNA from 1 species
UACGUAGGCAGCGAGCGUUGUUCGGAAUUACUGGGCGUAAAGAGUGUGUAGGCGGUGCUCUAAGUUCGGUGUGAAAUCUCCUGCUUAACUGGGAGGGUGCGCCGGAAACUGGAGUGCUUGAGCGUGGGAGAGGAAAGCGGAAUUCCUGGUGUAGCGGUGGAAAUGCGUAGAUAUCAGGAGGAACACCUGUGGUGUAGACGGCUUUCUGGACCAUAGCUGACGCUGAGACACGAAAGCGUGGGUAGCAAACAGG